CCCGCUGAACUUAAGCAUAUCAAUAAGCGGAGGAAAAGAAACUAACAAGGAUUCCCCUAGUAACUGCGAGUGAAGCGGGAAAAGCUCAAAUUUAAAAUCUGGUGGUCUUUGGCCAUCCGAAUUGUAAUUUAGAGAAGCGUCUUCCGCGCUGGACCAUGCAUAAGUCUCCUGGAAUGGAGCGUCAUAGAGGGUGAGAAUCCCGUCUUUGGCAUGGACCCCCAGGGCUUCUGUGAUGCGCUCUCAAAGAGUCGAGUUGUUUGGGAAUGCAGCUCAAAAUGGGUGGUGAACUCCAUCUAAAGCUAAAUAUUGGCGAGAGACCGAUAGCGAACAAGUACCGUGAGGGAAAGAUGAAAAGCACUUUGGAAAGAGAGUUAAACAGUACGUGAAAUUGUUAAAAGGGAAACGCUUGAAGUCAGUCACGUUUGCUUGGACUCAGCCUUACUUCGGUUUGGUGCAUUUCCUUGCAGACGGGCCAGCGUCCAUGUUGUUUGCCGGAAAAGGGGCGAGAAAAUGUGGCUCCUUUGGGAGUGUUAUAGAUUUCGCUCGUAUGCGGGGAAUGAUAUGGAGUGGUACAGCACGCUUCGGUGGUGCUUGUGCUGGCAUAAUGGCUUUAAACGACCCGUCUUGAAACACGG
rnacentral:rRNA from 1 species